rnacentral:rRNA from 1 species
CAUUUGCCUUAUAAUUGAAGGCUAGUAUGAAUGGUUUGACAAGAAUGUAGCUGUCUCUUUAUAAUUAAAUAGAAUUUUAUUUAUAGGUGAAGAAGCCUAUAUUAAAUUAAAAGACAAGAAGACCCUAUCGAGCUUGAAAGAAACUAGUAGAGUAAUAAUUAAUGAUAUCAAAAAAUUUACUAUUAGAAAUUUUAGUUGGGGCGACUAAGGAACAAAAAAAGCUUCCUUUAAAAAUUAAAAACUAAACAAGUAUUGAUCCAAAACGUUUUGAUUAAAGGAAUUAGUUACCGUAGGGAUAACAGCAUUAUCUUUUUUAAGAGCUCUUAUCGAAAAAAAGGUUUGUGACCUCGAUGUUGGACCAGAAUAUCCUAAAGAUGCAGCAGUCUUUAAGGGUUGGUCUGUUCGACCAUUAAAAUUCU